rnacentral:rRNA from 1 species
AGAGUUUGAUCAUGGCUCAGGAUGAACGCUAGCGACAGGCCUAACACAUGCAAGUCGAGGGGCAUCGGGGCGAGGAGCAAUCCUUGCCGCCGGCGACCGGCGCACGGGUGAGUAACGCGUAUGCGACCUGCCCGUUGCAGGGGGAUAAUCGGGAGAAAUCCCGUCUAAUACCGCGUAAUGCCGCGGGGCUGCAUGGCCCUGGGGCCAAAGGAAGCGAUUCCGGCAACGGAUGGGCAUGCGUGACAUUAGCUAGUUGGCGGGGCAACGGCCCACCAAGGCGACGAUGUCUAGGGGUUCUGAGAGGAAGGUCCCCCACACUGGUACUGAGACACGGACCAGACUCCUACGGGAGGCAGCAGUGAGGAAUAUUGGUCAAUGGGCGCGAGCCUGAACCAGCCAAGUCGCGUGAGGGAUGACGGCCCUACGGGUUGUAAACCUCUUUUGUCGGGGAGCAAAUUCCGCCACGCGUGGCGGAGUCGAGAGUACCCGAAGAAAAAGCAUCGGCUAACUCCGUGCCAGCAGCCGCGGUAAUACGGAGGAUGCGAGCGUUAUCC